GAACCAGUACCGUGAGGGAAAGGCGAAAAGAACCCCGGCGAGGGGAGUGAAAAAGAACCUGAAACCGUGUACGUACAAGCAGUGGGAGCCUCUUUAUGGGGUGACUGCGUACCUUUUGUAUAAUGGGUCAGCGACUUAUAUUCUGUAGCAAGGUUAACCGUAUAGGGGAGCCGAAGGGAAACCGAGUCUUAACUGGGCGUUAAGUUGCAGGGUAUAGACCCGAAAC
rnacentral:rRNA from 1 species